GACGAACGCUGGCGGCGUGCUUAACACAUGCAAGUCGAACGGAAAGGCCUCUUUCGGGGGGUACUCGAGUGGCGAACGGGUGAGUAACACGUGAGUAACCUGCCCUUGACUUUGGGAUAACUUCAGGAAACUGGGGCUAAUACCGGAUAGGAGCUCCUGCUGCAUGGUGGGGGUUGGAAAGUUUCGGCGGUUGGGGAUGGACUCGCGGCUUAUCAGCUUGUUUGUGGGGUAGUGGCUUACCAAGGCUUUGACGGGUAGCCGGCCUGAGAGGGUGACCGGCCACAGUGGGACUGAGAUACGGCCCAGACUCCUACGGGAGGCAGCAGUGGGGAAUAUUGCACAAUGGGUGGAAGCCUGAUGCAGCAACGCCGUGUGCGGGAUGACGGCCUUCGGGUUGUAAACCGCUUUCGCUCAUGACGAAGCUUUGUGUGACGGUAGUGGGUAAAGAAGCACCGGCUAACUACGUG
rnacentral:rRNA from 1 species